rnacentral:lncRNA from 1 species
AGGCGGCGAAGAGGGGGCUGGAGCUGGCGGUGGUGGUGCCGUCGAUGACGAUGGGUCCCAUGCUGCAGCAGACGCUCAACUUCAGCAGCAACCACGUCGCCCGCUACCUCAUGGGCACCAAGAAGUCGUACCCCAACGCCGUCGCCGCCUACGUCGACGUCCGCGACGUCGCCCGCGCGCACGUCCUCGUCUACGAGCGCCCCGACGCACGCGGCCGCUACCUCUGCAUCGGCACCGUGCUCCACCGCGCCGAGCUCCUCCGGAUGCUCAGGGACCUCUUCCCCCAGUACCCUGCCACUGCAAAGUACGCAACUAUUAGACAUUGAUUUGCUUGUGUGCGUUGCUGAAAUAGUCUUCUGAGAUGUAAUCGAUCGAUCUCAAAUUUUUCAUGCGUGUGUUUCUUGGAUUUUUCAGGUGUGAAGAUGACGGGAAGCCGAUGGCGAAGCCGUACAAGUUCUCGAACCAGAGGCUCAAGGAUUUGGGGUUGGAAUUCACUCCACUGAGGAAGAGUUUGCAUGAGGCGGUCUUAUGCAUGCAGCAGAAGAGUCACCUGCCUCUGAUUUAUCCCGUUCCAAAACGUGCUUACCUAUAAUCGAGAUACAAAUACUCGGAUUUGUCUGUUGUGAUGGGAAACAGAGAGCAACAGGGAGAAAAAAAAAACAAGAAAAUACAAGGGCUCUGAGAAUUCAGUAUGAAAUUGUUUAUUUGAGUAAGUGUAGUAGGCAUUUGUAUUUUGUUGUUACACAUGUAAAACCCUUCUGUAAUGAACAAUAAGGUCCCAUGGAGGGAAUUGUAAAUGCAAAUAUGGAUUCCAUUUAUAUUCUGGGUUUCAGGAUGUAAAUUUGAAUGGCACUGUAUUUAUUCCUAUUUUGCGAGGCAAUUUCCUAGUAUACAGUGCAGUACCGAACCUAAAUGUCUCUCCCUGCAGAUCGCAUGGAGUUGAAGUGUUAAAUGUGUGUGCAGAUCACGUCGAGUUUACAGUGUUUCGGCAGAAAUUGGAGAGUUAUCUGAACUCCAGAGCACUAAAGUCUGACGACACUUUUCAUAGUUUGGACAGGUAUCUGAACUCUGACGAUGUCAUCGAUGGUAUCUGAACCGUAGAGCGAGCGCUGACAUUCUGAUCAAUCAUGAGAGUUGGAUAGUAUCCGAAUUCUGACACUCUUGCAGAGUUUUUGUUCACAGAUCAACAGGUCCGUGACCAAUUUCAUAAUAGCGAAUUUACGACGAGAGCUAUCCGAACUCUUGCAGAGUUUGUGUUCAUGGACCACCAAUUUCAUAGCAAAUUAGCGACACCGAACAUUCAUGGAUCACCAAUUUCAUACUCCCUCCGUCCCAAAAUUAGUGCAGUUUUGCACUAUUCAUGUUCAACAUUUGACCGUUCGUCUUAUUUGAAAAUUUUUUAUGAUUAGUAUUUUUAUUACUAUUAGAUGAUAAAACAUAAAUAAUGCUUUAUGUGUGAUUAUAUAUUUUUAAUUUUUUUCAUAAAUUUUUCAAAUAAGACGAACGGUCAAACGUUGAGUACGGAUAUCCACGGCUGCACUUAUUUUGAGACGGAGGUAGUAGCAAAUUAGCGACACCGAACAUCAGUGACAACUCUUCCUGCAGGAAGAUGUGAAUGUAAAAGGCGCAGAGGAUCAUAAUUCAGAGCCUAGCCAAGAAGAAAUCAAACUUUAAACACAUCAACAUCAAAUUGGAUAUCAUCUAUAUACAAGAACACUAAGGGUGAGUUUGAGAUAUAGAGGAUUGAGAAGAUAUGUAAAACGAGAUGAGCCAUUAGCGCAUGAUUAAUUGAGUAUAAACUAUUUUAAAUUUUAAAAAUGGAUUAAUAUGAUUUUUUAAAGCAACUUUCCUAUAGAAAAUUUUUAAAAAAACGCAUAGUAGUUUGGAAAACGUGCGCGCGGAAAACGAGGUAUUUUCUCACCCUAUCUCACACAAACGAACACAUCAGGCAUCGAUACUCCGUCUAGCUAUCAGCGCAACUGCAUACUUAAAAAUUAAUCGUUGGUUUGGUUGGGGUGCGCCAGGCCCGGGCAGCAGUGCAACACCUGGGCGACGCGUGAGGGCCCCAGCGGCAAGCCACUGUAGUGGACCCUCCCCCACAAAAAAUAAAUUUAAUAUCGAAGUGGGCACAUAGCCCAUAUAUCAGAUAUUAAACUGAUAAGAACAGAUACUACACUUGAUCUUAGCCAAAAGGCCGAGAAAGGUAUGAGUUGCUCCGUGCAACCCUGCCUGCUUAUAUACAGAGCGCCUUGCGCGCCUCAGCUCUGCGUCUCCGAGGUGGUACUAAAAGCUCAAACUCAAAUAUGGGCCUCAGCUCUCUUCUUGAGACGAACACUGGGCCCUGGGUACUAAAAAGGCCCAUCACUGGGUCGCUCUGAUCCGUCACACCCACGAUCGGUGCAAGCCCAGAUAUGGGCCUGAUUUGCUUCUCUGUUGUUAGUGAAAAAGGCCCAAUAUUAGUCCCAAAAGGUUGUGCUUCCAAACUGAGCUCAAUUGAACGGUGAAUCUAUGGAAGUAUAUAUAGACGUUCAUUUCCAUGGACUUUGUUGUCAGAAAGUUACUAGUAAAUAUAUCUGUGGAGAUUAUGGGUACCCCAUACCCACACGGCAUGGUUAUCCGACUAGUAAUAGGGGAUAACAUAUAUCUAUGGAAUAUGUAACCGAUCAUGACUUGGGUAUUACGUUUCCUUUUAUAUUAUGGAGCGGCCUAAAGUCCUGAUUCGAUAAUAUUGUAAAAUAGAUUUAGGAAACCGAUACCGUAUUGGUUAAGGUUUCUAUCUUGUAAUCCUGCCCCCCAUCCUAUAUAAGGUGGGCAGGAGGCCCUCUAGGGGGCAUGAGACAACCUGAUCGUCAGAUCAAUACACACUCGGCGGAUUCAAAUCCCCAAACAGGAGUAGGGUAUUACCUCUCAUUGAGAGGGCCUGAACCUGUCUAAAUCCUUUGUCUCUGCAUCCAUCCACUUUAGGUCUCGUCCGCUACCCCCUUUUAUUAUUGCCGAAUUCAUGUUUCGACAGUUGGCGCGCCAGGUAGGGGAUGCGUCGAAUUACCCGUCGAAAAGUGAGAUGGAAUCCACUUCAGAAGAAACGGCGAGAUCAAUCUCACCGAAUUCGAUGGCUCGAACUUUGGACCGGGUUUGUCGUUCCAAUCUAUUUUUUAUUAGAUUAAUUUUUUUUCUAUCAUAGAUCAAUCUUCUGGUAUAUUUUCCUGUGUCGAUCUUGUGUCGGUCGGCGGAGAUCAAGCCGAAGCUGUCGACGACGCCCUCACGCAUCGAGACUUUCUUCGUGCUUUGCCGGCGGACAUGUGGUGGCCAUCGCUGGGCACAGUUUACCAGGAGAAAACACUGCAUGAGUUGAUUCAACUGAUCAACAUACAUGCACGAUCCAACCAACAUGCACAUUACAUCUACAGAGUUAAUCUGUUUACUAGUUGAUUCUAACCAGCAAUUAUUUUGUUGCUAUCUGUCUUGCAUGUACACCGCCGGCCGUAUCUACUGCCGGCUAUAUCCGUCAGCGCCGACCGGCUCCACCGUCUCCGUAGUCGGUCGCCUCCGAGCUGUUAUCAUUAGGCUUUACAGCUGCCCCGGUCGGUCAUCUACAUGCUGCCGACUCUCCGAGGUCGCAGGGCCGUUGAUGGCUUCCGCCGGCUACUGCUGAUCGAGGCAUUGCGACCCAAGCUGAUCGACGCGCACGACGUAUCCAAGCCACGCCGUACAACUUGGGUUGGCUGUUCCAAUUUAAUUUUUAUUAGAUUGAUUAUUAAUUAAUCCCUAAUCGCCGGCCGUUUUGAUUUCCUGGCAAUUUUUGUUGUUUUUCACAUGCUGGUUGAGAUCACGACACGGCCGCCAUCGUCGCCUACUCGGCCACUCGGGUGCCUCUUGCCGUGUCCGAGUGCUCCUCUCUUCCCUUCCAUGCAGAUGGACGUGCUGCUAGAUUGGCACAGGACACAGGAAUAUACUCGGCCACCAGGAGCAAGCACGUGUAUACGUCGAUUUAAUCUACAUGUAUGCUGGAGCGAUGGUUGUUCGCAUGCAUUGGAUGGCAGUCGAGAUCAAACAAUCAUUCACUGCUUGCGGCCUCGCUGCCACGGUUGGUGUGUGCCGCCGCCGUUGCCGAUAGCGACAUCGUCUUCACCACUGGCUUGCCUCCGUCGCCGCCGAUUGGUGCCUCCGCCUACACGGCUGGUCUAUUAUGCCGCCGCUGUUGGGCGUCUACGACUUCACCGCCGGCCUGCCUCCGUCGCCGCCGAGUGGUGCCUCCGCCUACACGGCUGGCCUAUUAUGCCGCCGCUGUUGGGCGUCUACGACUUCACGCCGCCGGCCUGCCUCCGUCGCCGCCGAUUGGUGCCUCCGCCUACACGGCUGGCCUGUUAUGCCGCCGCUGUUGGGCGUCUACGACUUCACCGCCGGCCUGCCUCCGUCGCCGCCGAUUGGUGCCUCCGCCUACACGGCUGGCCUAUUAUGCCGCCGCUGUUGGGCGUCUACGACUUCACCGCCGGCCUGCCUCCGUCGCCGCCGACUGGUGUCUUUGCCUAUAUGGUUGGUUGGUCACACCACCGUUGUUGGGCGUCUACGACUUCACCGCCGGCCUGCCUCCGUCGCCGCCGACUGGUGUCUUCGCCUAUAUGGUUGGUUGGUCACACCACCGUUGUUGGGCGUCUACAUCUUCACCGACCGGCCGUCUCGUCCGCCGCCGACUGGUGUUUCCGCCUGCACGGCUGGCCUAUUAUGCCGCCGCUGUUGGGCGUCUACGACUUCACCGCCGGCCUGCCUCCGUCGCCGCCGAGUGGUGCCUCCGCCUACACGGCUGGCCUAUUAUGCCGCCGCUGUUGGGCGUCUACGACUUCACCGCCGGCCUGCCUCCGUCGCCGCCGAUUGGUGCCUCCGCCUACACGGCUGGCCUGUUAUGCCGCCGCUGUUGGGCGUCUACGACUUCACCGCCGGCCUGCCUUCGUCGCCGCCGAUUGGUGCCUCCGCCUACACGGCUGGCCUAUUAUGCCGCCGCUGUUGGGCGUCUACGACUUCACCGCCGGCCUGCCUCCGUCGCCGCCGAGUGGUGUCUUCGCCUAUAUGGUUGGUUGGUCACACCACCGUUGUUGGGCGUCUACAUCUUCACCGACCGGCCGUCUCGUCCGCCGCCGACUGGUGUUUCCGCCUGCACGGCUGGCCUAUUAUGCCGCCGCUGUUGGGCGUCUACGACUUCACCGCCGGCCUGCCUCCGUCGCCGCCGACUGGUGUCUUCGCCUAUAUGGUUGGUUGGUCACACCACCGUUGUUGGGCGUCUACGUCUUCACCGACCGGCCGUCUCGUCCGCCGCCGACUGGUGUUUACGCCUGCACGGCUGGCCUAUUAUGCCGCCGCUGUUGGGCGUCUACGACUUCACCGCCGGCCUGCCUCCGUCGCCGCCGAGUGGUGCCUCCGCCUACACGGCUGGCCUAUUAUGCCGCCGCUGUUGGGCGUCUACGACUUCACCGCCGGCCUGCCUCCGUCGCCGCCGAUUGGUGCCUCCGCCUACACGGCUGGCCUGUUAUGCCGCCGCUGUUGGGCGUCUACGACUUCACCGCCGGCCUGCCUCCGUCGCCGCCGAUUGGUGCCUCCGCCUACACGGCUGGCCUAUUAUGCCGCCGCUGUUGGGCGUCUACGACUUCACCGCCGGCCUGCCUCCGUCGCCGCCGAGUGGUGUCUUCGCCUAUAUGGUUGGUUGGUCACACCACCGUUGUUGGGCGUCUACAUCUUCACCGACCGGCCGUCUCGUCCGCCGCCGACUGGUGUUUCCGCCUGCACGGCUGGCCUAUUAUGCCGCCGCUGUUGGGCGUCUACGACUUCACCGCCGGCCUGCCUCCGUCGCCGCCGACUGGUGUCUUCGCCUAUAUGGUUGGUUGGUCACACCACCGUUGUUGGGCGUCUACGUCUUCACCGACCGGCCGUCUCGUCCGCCGCCGACUGGUGUUUACGCCUGCACGGCUGGCCUAUUAUGCCGCCGCUGUUGGGCGUCUACGACUUCACCGCCGGCCUGCCUCCGUCGCCGCCGAUUGGUGCCUCCGCCUACACGGCUGGCCUAUUAUGCCGCCGCUGUUGGGCGUCUACGACUUCACCGCCGGCUUGCCUCCGUCGCCGCCGAGUGGUGCCUCCGCCUACACGGCUGGCCUAUUAUGCCGCCGCUGUUGGGCGUCUACGACUUCACCGCCGGCUUGCCUCCGUCGCCGCCGAGUGGUGCCUCCGCCUACACGGCUGGCCUAUUAUGCCGCCGCUGUUGGGCGUCUACGACUUCACCGCCGGCCUGCCUCCGUCGCCGCCGAGUGGUGCCUCCGCCUACACGGCUGGCCUAUUAUGCCGCCGCUGUUGGGCGUCUACGACUUCACCGCCGGCCUGCCUCCGUCGCCGCCGACUGGUGUCUUCAUUGUUAUUGAUGGACGACUUUGUUCCCACAUUGGUCACUUCUGCCAUCACCAAGGGGAAUAUUACAAAGCUAAGUCAUCAUUUAUUUUAUUUUUUAUAUGAUAUUUUUCCUUUUCCUCUGCCUCACUACACCAAUUGGUCUUCCAUUGAGUAGUGAGUCGAGGGCUAUAGAUGUUAUAUCAUAUUUUUUAUAAUAUUUAUCUUGAUUGCUUGCGACAUAAUCUGAGUACAAAAGUACCUAUCGAGUUAUGGAGUUCUAUCUUCCUAUGCUUUCCGUUUGGUUUGCCAUUGGAUGGUUGCCUUUGGGCCGAUUCCUAGCACCCGGGGGCUCGUUCGAUGGACCGAGUAACGCAAGGUGCUAAGUAUUAUUCGGAAUAAAUCAAAAGCAUAGAGACGAGAUAAAUUUAUUUUCUGCUCUUAAUAAUUGCAAAAGUACCCGAGUAGUAAAUUCUGAUCCGUGAAACUUUGUUCCAUUAAUGACGAACUCAUAUCACUCAUAUGCAUGUUUGGGAAAUGCCUAGGCCGACUCCCGAUGCUUGUGGGCUAUGACUAGUCGGACAGAGUGUUUAAAUGUACAGAGUCAUCUGCUCGGGGAAAUCACAAUUGAUAAGAGGAGAAAUACAUAUUUAUAAAUAUUUUAAAAUACUUGAUUUUUUCUCGAGUAUUAUAUUUAUAUCAGAUACUACUCAUCCGAUAUGUUUGUUCUGCAGGAUCCAGAUCCAGAUAUGCAUAAAAGGGAUUCAUGGCUUUAAGCUUAUCUCUUACGCUCCAGGAAUGGAUCAGUCAGAACAUCACCACCGGCUCGCCUCGACCGCCGCCGACUGGUGUUUCCGCCUGCACGGCUGGCCUAUUAUGCCGCCGUUGUUGGGCGUCUACGUCUUCACCGACCGGCUUGCCUUCGCCGCCGCCGACUGGUGUUUCCGCCUGCACGGCUGGCCUUUAUGCCGCCGUUGUUGGGCGUCUACGUCUUCACCGACCGGCUUGCCUUCGCCGCCGCCGACUGGUGUUUCCGCCUGCACGGCUGGCCUUUAUGCCGCCGUUGUUGGGCGUCUACGUCUUCGCCGACCGGCCGCCUCGUCCGCCGCCGACUGGUGCUUCCGCCUGCACGGCUGACUUAUUAUGCCGCCGUUGUUGGGCGUCUACGUCUUCACCGACCGGCUGCUUCGACCGCCGCCGACUGGUGUUUCCGCCUGCACGGCUGGCCUAUUAUGCUGCCGUUGUUGGGCGUCUACGUCUUCACCGACCGGCCGCUUCGACCGCCGCCGACUGGUGUUUCCGCCUGCACGGCUGGCCUAUUAUGCUGCCGUUGUUGGGCGUCUACGUCUUCACCGACCGGCCGCCGCAUCCGCCGCUGACUGGUGUCACCGCCUGCACGGCUGGCCUGUUAUAACGCCAACUGAUGCUAUCUUCUUCACGGCUGGCUACAUCGCUGUCACUACUAAUAGGCAUCAGUAUCUUCAACACAAGCUGCCUACGUUUGCCAUGGCUGCCGACUGGUUUCUUCACUUCCAUGGCUGCAUGAUUCUGCCAGUGUUGAUUGGCCUUACCAUCUUCAUCGCCGGUCGUCUCGUCUGCUGCUGACUAGUGCCCUCGCCUCUACAUCUGGUUUAUACAGCUACCACUACUGAUGGACAUCAUCAUCUUCCGUCGCCGACUGAUUAUGCCGCCGCCGACUGGUGCUUUUAUCUUCACAACUGCGCGUCUUCACUACCGGAUUUCUACUUGGACAUCUUCAACACAUAUCUUCAAUCAAGCAAUGAUUACUCGACGACAAGAAGCUAUAAUUCUCGACUCUAUGUUCAGUUGUUUCCCAACUAACCAAAGAGUCGGGGGCUACACAAAUACAAGACUCUCAAAAUUCGACAAGAUGAAGCAAUCAAUUAAUCAGCCAACGAGUCAAUUCCAGGAGUCAUUAUCUUCGUCUUUGCUUUAGAGCAGAGUUAUCAACCAAUCAGCUCAGUUUCGACGAGUUGGACAACAUCAUCUACUUUCCUCCAAGUGAAGCAUCUGCAACAGCUAUAACACCAAUUUGAUGGAUUAUUGUCACUGACAUCAUCACCAGCACCUCUGCUUCAUCGACCCUGACAUCUCUGCUGUUGCUAAUGGAUGAUUAUGUUUUCGCCGACUUAUUAUUUCACCUUGACGGUUGACCUACUAUGCAAAUGCUGAUGAGCGUCUUUGUCAUUAUCAUUGGUUGCUACACUGCUAUUGGCUGGAUCACCGACAUCGUCAUCUUCAUCAUGUCGGUUGCGUUUGUCGUCGUCAACUAUUUUCUUCAUCUUCAUGAUUGGUGGAUUUCGCCAUCACUGUUGAUGCGCGUCUACGUCUUCAUCGUCGGUUUGCUUUUGUCAUCACCGACUGUUUCUUCGCCUCCAUGGUUAUGCAACUUCAUUACCUUUGAUUGGUGUCACUGUUUUUUACUACCACUGACAUCUUCCGUUACUUCUGAUGAGCAAUUUCGUCUUCAUGUUGGUCAUUUCAUCUCCAUGCCGACUGCGUCAGCUAUUGCCAAUAGACAAUUUUGACUAUGACAGAAGGACAAGCUAUAUGCUCAGGGGCUCAUCAACUCAAGCGUGAGGAUUAUAUCUCCAAUUGGGACUUGUUCCGGAUACAUUCCACAUGGAUUCAUAGUCAUGAGUCUAUCUUCUAUGCUCAAAGACUGGACCAAUUAUUAUUCCCCGUAAAGGCUAUCAACUGAAUACUUGCGCCAGUCGGGAUUCAAUUAUUAUAUUUAUUUUGGAGUAUCCCAUAAGGGAUAGUCAUUCAGAUCAGAAGCUAUUCAUAUGAGCUACACUUGGUCUAUAUUACCCAGAAGAUUUGUUACUCGGGAGCAUGUCACAUGCGUCAUCCUUUAAAGGGUGUCGAAGGCAUAUUUUUUGGCCUAGGCCUAAUAUGUCUGCAGCCCAUAUUUUCAGGUGUGGCCUGUCACGUUCUUUUAGGGACUUAGGCACUUUUUGCUUAGGCCAAAGUGCGCGUGAUCAAGUGCCCAAUACCUUAAAAUCCUUUUAUACCGCAGUUACUUAACUUUUUAGGAGUUGGUACAAUGCAUCUUAAAAGGUGUCAAACAGUAAAGCUUUAUAUAGCUGUCCCGCUGACUUUUUUAUAUAUAAGUCAAGGUGCUGUUUGGGUUUUUAAGCAAUUGAUUGGAUACAAUAUCAUUGCUUUUUGCCACGUAAGUGUGCAUUUUUAUUGACCAAUAUUAUGGCUUAGGCUGAUUAUAUAUUGUGGUCAUUUUCUAGGCGGUUGGUAAAUCCUUUAUGAGUUUAUUUAUUCGGAUUUUACACCACAUAUGCCAUAUAUUUCCAGGUGUGGUGAAACCAUGUGUCUUCUAGGGACUUAAGCACAUCUGUUAAAGCAGUGUGCGCAUGGCGUAUGCCCAAUACUUUGGAAAUUUCUUUAUUCACAAUAUACAAGCUUCUUUAUAGCUAUUUUGCUAUAUCACUCAUCAUAUUUUACAAAGCAGUCGGUAUAUCACUUGGAUCAUAUUAUUCGGGGAUUCACACCGCAUAUGCUAUAUAUUGGUAUCAAGUCACUUGGUUGACUACGAUUAUCAAAACCACUCAGUUGGUGCAUCUAUUAGAUACAUCUAUUCGAUGCACCUGACUUUAUUUUUCAGCCCUCCACAGUCUUCAUAUUUGGUAAAAGUACUCGGGAGAUCAUGGUGAGGAUGAUUGAAGCACUCGGCUUUGGAGUAAUCUAGUUCGAGAAAAGAUUAUCUUUCCGACUGUGAAGGUCUCAGGGGCUACUGUGGAGAUUAUGGGUACCCCAUACCCACACGGCAUGGUUAUCCGACUAGUAAUAGGGGAUAACAUAUAUCUAUGGAAUAUGUAACCGAUCAUGACUUGGGUAUUACGUUUCCUUUUAUAUUAUGGAGCGGCCUAAAGUCCUGAUUCGAUAAUAUUGUAAAAUAGAUUUAGGAAACCGAUACCGUAUUGGUUAAGGUUUCUAUCUUGUAAUCCUGCCCCCCAUCCUAUAUAAGGUGGGCAGGAGGCCCUCUAGGGGGCAUGAGACAACCUGAUCGUCAGAUCAAUACACACUCGGCGGAUUCAAAUCCCCAAACAGGAGUAGGGUAUUACCUCUCAUUGAGAGGGCCUGAACCUGUCUAAAUCCUUUGUCUCUGCAUCCAUCCACUUUAGGUCUCGUCCGCUACCCCCUUUUAUUAUUGCCGAAUUCAUGUUUCGACAAUAUCGAAUAUACUAGAAAGUAACCGCAGCUUCGCGCGGAAGUAUACAUAGGCCAGGCCAAUAGGAUGCAGUGUGUUCCCUAUUAAUUAUCAUACCUUGUCAUCAGCUAAAUAAGGCAUUAAUCAUAUUCUGAUUGGCAUGCUCAUAUUGCAAAGCCCCAAAAUCCCUCAGUUCCCUUCGAGAAAAAGAAAACUAUCGGUUCCAUGUUUUACCAUCGUGUUGUUCUGCAGAAAUGAUUAUUUUCUGUUUGAUGGCCAUUUUGAAUAGAUAGAAAUUUACCAAAAGUUAUAAAUAGAUAGAAAUGCAUAUAUUAUAAAUAUACCAAAAGUUAGUGUUGUGCAUAAUCCAUAUAGCAAAAGUAUGCGGUCUUUAUCAGAUAGGUUAUCAAGCAGAGCGACUAUUUUGACUGUGUGUUUGAAUCAAACGAUAAUCAGUGUUUUCUUCACUACUACUUCUCUACGAUAAUAAUAUUAUAAAUAUUUAUGUAUUAUAUUGAAUAAUUAUAUGGUCGUCGUGGAACAUCUAAAGUAAAACCCUAGAGAAUUAAGACACUUAAGAAUCAGUGAAUCAAUAACAUCCUUUAUAAUAGUAAAUAUUGACAGAAGCAAUUAUAUAAAUAAUAAGUAAAUAGUAUCAUAAAGCAUUUUAUUAGAUGGAUUAGAUUUUCUCCGAUGUUUCAGAAAACUAAUAUGUGAUUCCAAAGUAUAUGAAUUGUACUGUAUAUUAAAGUUCUUCAGCAUAAUAUAUUUGAGCUAUGGACUCAAGGACAACAAGGUCCCGUCAAACAUUUAAGUUUCAUAAUAGUAAAAUUAUAUAAAGAAUUAUCACAGCUUGCUUAAGCUUCAAAUUUGCUUUUAACUACAAAAUCAUUCCAAUGAACAUGGCAGGCAAACCCCAAACAUCUUCUCUAGUUUGUUACUGUCAUAUAAUUAUAGAGAGCAUGCAAAGCACACUUGUGGUAAAAAAAAAACUUAACAUCAUUGAUUCAAAGUACAAAGAACUUGUCGAAUGAAAAUUUUUCUUUAGACCAACAAUGCAAUUUUUACUCUAGGAUAUACUUGUAUACUCCAUCUCGAAUAAAUGCAAUUCUUACUCUAGGCAGUCUAUACAUUACCCUGCUCAGUCAUGACUCAAAAUUAGUUCCAAGAAUAUGUAAUUAACGCAGCAAUUAAUCAUGUUUGAGGUGACUCCAUUUGUGAAGAUGAACUCUGCAUUAAAAAAGGAAAGUAUUACAUAUUAUGCAAUACUAACAGAUAUAUAGGCACUAUUCUUCUCAUCCCGAAAUCUGAUGAACUUGUAGAUAUGAUUGCUGCACUGGAGACGGUAAUAAUUUUUUCAAUAACAUUUGGAAAAAGAAAUCAAUAGAACAAGACAAUGAUGUGAACAAAUAUUAUCGAGAAGCAAGAAAGGGCAAAACUUAAGGAGUGCAGUAAAUAAUUCAUCUACAGAAAUCAUGACCAUAUCCAUAUGGUAAUCGAAUGAUCUUGGAUGGGAACACUUUCACUUUCUGCAUUGGACACUGAAAGAUCAUUAUCUCGUGGUAGUCCUGGAUGAGUUAUACAAAUCCUUGUAGCAAAAUCAGAGCAGCUUUUAAAAGCUUAUCGAUCUCAGUUUGAGCAGCCAACAGAUCAAGCUUUCUCAAGGUUACUUCUCAACCUAGGAUCAAUCAGCAAAGAACAAUUCUAAUUAUAGGAUCAGCUAUGGACAUCAAACAAUAAUUGCUUACAACAAUUUCACAUUUUUCUAGAACCAUACAAAAUAUGCAUUGUGUUCAUGUCCACUCGCCUGCAGUCCGCUCCCCAUCCAUCUAUGCACUGUCAGGGGAAGGGGAAGGGGAAGUGGACUCACGAGCUGGCGAGGAUGACGACCGAGAGAGGGGCAAGAGAUUAGAAAGGUAGCGGCAGCGGCUAUGUUGACGGCUACGGAUGGGAUCGACCACUAGGCGGCGGAUUGAGCGCCUUAACAUCGAAGUCCAGCCCCGGCGCCCGGCCAUCGAUCCCAGUCGAUUGCUGCGCCAAGCUCGACCACUGGCCUGCCGGGUCAAGCACAUCAGCAAGGAAGAAAGGGGGCGAGGAGGAGGCGGCGGCGCUCGGCUCGCGAGAUGAGAAUGCGCGGGAGAGGUAAAGUGAGGGAGGCGCUGUGGGAUAGGGUUUCUAGGGGCGACGCUUGACGAAUCGGCGAGGUCCGGCACUGAUGUGGAGCGGCGGUUGCCCGGCUCGCGACUUGCCGAAGGAGCCGAGGAGGAAGAAGCGAGGCCGCGAGAGGAGACGAUUUCUCUGGAAGGGAUGUCACCUUUUCCGUUUAACCCCCUGAGAAAUCUAAAAUUUACAGUUAGAUCCUUUGUUCCUUCUAUGCCGUUGUUUUGUUAUCCAACGGAUGCAGGGUGAGAGCCAAUUCCAUCAAUUGCGCGAUGCCACGUGGCGGGGCUGUCCGGCCGAGAACGUGCCCGGAAUUCGGUAUAAGAGAUAGUAACAAGUGGUUCUUCACGUUAUUUGAUACGGAGUAGUACUACUAAGUCUAAGUUCGCAUGUUUAAGGUAGCGUCUAAGUCAAACAAUGAUGGCCGGUCAACGGCCAUAACGACACAAGCUAGCUAGCUUGUGCGAUGCAAUGUUUCGAAGCAUCGAUUUUUUACCAUGAACCACACCCCCUGCUUAAGACCAAUGACCACCAACAGUGGCUAUCCGAGUUUGACAGUCAACCUUAAACCUUCACAUGAUGGCGGCAUUCUUAUUGACAAAUUGUUUACUUCUAUCUGCCUUUUCAGCUGUGAUGUUUAACAAUAUGCUAUCUGGCACAUGCACGAUAUCACUAAGAUAAUGCUUGGGGGUGGUCAAUUUUCAUUUGAAAUCUCUGGUUCCUGCACAAGCAACUUUCCUGCGCUCAGGUAUAGGCGUAUAGCUUGACACUCAAAUUAAGUACAUGUACCACUUGAUUUGUGUCUAGUGUAAAUCGCAUUAGCCAUCGAUUUCGAAUAUUAAAGAAAAGAUCGCAGUGAAAUAUUCCUGAUUGGAAGAUGCUUGACGGAAUAUAUGCAAUAACUGACGUGAUCUUUUUUAAAAAGGGGAAUUUUAGGUACCGCUGAUAAUAAUGAAUGAAUAAAGACCGUCCAUUACUUUUCUAACCCAACGGAUUAAUAUACCAGUUAAAUUUAGGGUUGAAGAAAUUAAGAUGAAAUUCUUUUGUUCACAAUACUUAAAACCGUGCACAAUUUUCAGCAAAAUUAGAUGGAAAAUAGGCCAUAACGCAUAUUAGCGAUAAAAAAUAAUUCGUAAGUAAUUUUUUGUGUGUGUUUUAGCGACUCAAUAAUCAAAUGCUAUAAGAUUCUAGUAAGAUGAGAAAAAAGAAGCACCAAAAUCAACUCUAAAAUUAAAUUUACAAGGGUUAAUUCGCGAGUAAUAACGGUAAUAAUCUGGGUAUCGUAUCCAGCACAUGUCUCUUCACGCCCGGAGAUUCCAAUCCGGGUUAACCAACCUUAUCGCCGCUGAAUGAGACUGACGACCCAACGAUCUGCAGCAAGUUAAUUAAUUUUAUGUGCGUCGAUGCCGCACUAUAAAUUAGUCAUGCACAGUUGCAUCCAUGGCUGCCAAGCUCGAACAAGCAAUUCUCAGGGAUAAUCACACGAUAGUAGAGCUUAAUUAGUAUCAUCAACCGUGCCACGGUGCCGAUCGAUCAGCGACACAACAAUUAAGCUCUUCAACAUGUCGUGCAAUUCUGCCGAGGUCGCGGCCAACGACGGCAGCAGCAAUGGCGGUGAGAAGCAGCAGCAGCAGGAGGAGGAGGUGGUGUGCGUGACGGGAGCGGGAGGCUUCAUCGGAUCAUGGGUGGUGAAGGAGCACCUCCUCCGUGGCUACCGCGUCAGGGGAACAGCCAGGGAUCCCACCAAGAACGCCCACCUGCUCGCGCUCGACGGAGCCGGCGAGAGGCUCACCCUGUGCCGCGCCGACGUCCUGGACUCCGAGAGCCUGCGCGCCGCGUUCGCCGGAUGCCAUGGCGUCUUCCACGUCGCCUCCCCGGUGUCCAAUGACCCUGUGAGUUCACUGUUCAGAAAGACAAAUUAUAUAAUUGCUUUGUUUGAUCGAGUAGACGAGUACUUACAGAUGGCUGCUGCUGCUCCGUUUGCUGCAGAAUCUGGUGCCGAUCGCGGUGGAGGGGACGAGGAACGUGGUGAACGCGGCGGCGGACAUGGGCGUGCGGCGCGUGGUGUUCACGUCGUCGUACGGCGCCGUGCACAUGAACCCCAACCGGAGCCCCGACACCGUCCUCGACGAGACCUGCUGGAGCGACCCCAAAUUCUGCCGCCAAACCGACGUAAGUUCAGUUCCCUCUCUGCACUGUACCAUGCGAUUCUCAAUUCGGAAAUCUGAGACGCACCGUGACAUGAACAACGACGACGCAGGUAUACUGCUACGCGAAGACGAUGGCGGAGAAGGCGGCGGAGGAGGAGGCGGCAAAGCGAGGCGUGCAGCUGGCGGUGGUGCUGCCCUGCGUGACGGUCGGGCCAAUCUUGCACCCGGCCAUCAACACCAGCAUCAACCACGUCGUCCGCUACCUCACGGGCGCCGCGCCCACCUACCCGAACGCCGUCGCGGCCUACGUCGACGUCCGCGACGUCGCCCGCGCGCACGCACUCGUCUACGAGCGCCACGACGCCCGCGGCCGCUACCUCUGCAUCGGCGCCGUGCUCCACCGCGCCCAUCUCCUCCAGAUGCUCAAGGAACUUUUCCCACAGUACCCCGUCACUUCCAAGUACGUAGUUGCAUAUAUAACGUUGCAUGAAUCCUGUGCCGUCAAAGCCACAUAACUUUUUUCUUUGACAUAUAGGCUCAAUAAUCAUUAGGCUCACAUGUCACAUGUCAGUGAUAAGGCACCGUGCAUUUGAUUAUAGAGGAUCUCAAUUCUUAUGAUAGAUGCAGUGCCCUUCUCAAAUUAUCACGUAUUGAUCAUGUUGUGAUUUUCAUUUCUGGUUAUUUUUUUUAGGUGCAAGGACGAUGGGAAUCCGAUGGUGGAACCGUACAAGUUCUCGAACCAGAGGCUCAAGGAUUUGGGCUUCGAAUUCACACCAAUGAGGAAGUGUCUGUAUGACGCAGUCGUAUGCAUGCAACAGAAGGGGCACCUCCCGCUGGUUGGUACCGCCGUACCGGACCAAAAUGUGACCUCUAAUACGAGCUCGAUCGUCUAAGGCAACUGGUAGAUUCGAGUAAUCUUCUGAUGUUAUCACAAUAGCAGAAAUGGACUGUAGUCUAGGUUAUAACGGUUUAUGUUAACCCAAGGAGUUUCCACAGAAAUACUACUCGAAAAUAUCUGAAAUUACUAGCGAAAUGUCUAUGCUUUGCUACGGAUAAUAUAAAAUGUAUUGUAAUGAAAUAUGUAAAUAUAUGUUAUUGGCAAAUAUGUAUUAGGAAUGACCAGUGUAAAAAUACAAUGUAUAAAUAUCCAAAAUUACAUCCAACAAUAAUUAAUUUUCAGUAAAGAAAAGGAUGAUCAAGAAUAUUUGAUUUUAACACAUGUUCUAUAGUAUAAUCAGAUAUCACUAAAAUUUGAAACAAAAAAAAACUUAAGACUCUUGUCAAAUAUCAUACAAGAGCACCUUUUAUAAUGAAUGAUAAGGUCCCAUGAAGGUAAUGGUGAAUGGAAAUCUGGAUUUCAUUUGAAUUGAGUACUAACCAGAGCUCUAACGUCUGAUGAAGGUCUCUAUUAUUCAGAGGUGGAGAUUUAUUUGAAGUCUGAUGAAAGUAUAAUAUUGAGACGUUGUUGGAAAGGUAUAACUCUAGAGUAACUAGUAAGAGAAGUGGAGUCGGGUAUCUAAACUCUGGAGCAGAUUCAAAUUGUAUUGUUUUCAAAUUGUUUAAAACCUUAAAAGAGUAUUCAAACUGUUUUUCCUUGGUUGCAAAUCCUGUAUGGUUUUCAAAUAAUGUUUAACAAGUUCUAACGAAGGUAUGUCUGAAGCUUUAGUUUUUAAUAAUCUGAAUGAUCAAUUUCAGAUUAGUAUUUUUCUAUAUCCUAUAAUCAUAAGACCAAAUAAAAAUUUAAACAAUGUAUUGGUUGGGGUGCGCCAGGCCCGGGCAGCAGUGCAACGCCUGGGCGACGCAUGAGGGCCCCAGUGGCAAGCCACUGUAGUGGGCCCUCCCCCACAAAAAAUAAAUUUAAUAUCAAAGUGGACACAUGGCCCACAUAUCAGAUAUUAAACUGAUAAGAACAGAUACUACACUUGAUCUUAGCCAAAAGGCCGAGAAAGGUAUGAGUUGCUUAGUCCAACCCUGCCUGCUUGUAUACAGAGCGCAGCGCCAUCUACUACCCUCCGUCUCCGAGGUGGUACUAAACCGAGUGCCAUCCAUCCAUCUGCCCGGUGCAAGCGCGGAUAUGGGCUGGCAUUUCCCUUUUAGGGCCGAAAUAUGGGCUGGAUUUACUGCUGUUGCGUGUUACUAGUGGUAAAGGCCCAAUACUAGAACUGGGCUGUCUAUAUCCGUCACGGUCCACGGUGGUAAAUGGGCCGGCCCAGCAAGGGCUGGCUCUUCUAGAAGAGAAACGGACUGCUCUCUCGCCCUGGCGUCGCAGCCAUGGCUAGCGCCCACAAUUGAAGGCGAGGACGAAGACGUCAAGAAGUUGUUGUUCUAAACUGAGUCAAGUGAACGGUGAAUCUAUUUGGUUAGCUCUUCUAUUUCGGCGGAAUUUGUUGUCAUGAGGUCACUAUUGCCGCAAAUAUAAGUGGUUCUUUUACGUGUGUUUUGGCACCAUUCAUUGUUUAACUGUGUGCUGGUAGUGUCCGAGUCAAUUAGUUAGUCAAACAUGAUGGUCGGCUAAAUGGCCAUUGGCCAUGACAGUAUGACACUAGCUUCUGCCGUGCGAGGUUUUGAAGAUUUUCCCAAAAAAUCUUUAUCCCCUGCUUGAGACCAGUUACCAGCAGUUAUCCGAAUCUAUCUAUCUAUCUAUUAUUAUUAUAUUAUUAUUAAAGGAAUAGAAAAAUGAGCCUCCACGUUCGCUCUCAUGGCCUAGAAAUUCUCACAUUAAUCGAAGAAAAAGAAAAAGCAGAGUCCAUAGAAAUACAAUUUAGAAAUAGCUGAAAAUCGGAAUUAAAAAAUAAGGAAUAUUAGAAGAGGAGACUAGAGUCCAUAUAGAAAUACAAUUUAAAAAUAGCUGAAAUUCGGAAUUAAAAAAUAAGAAAUAUUAGAAGAGGAGAGUAGAGUCCAUAUAGAAAUACAAUUUAGAAAUAGCUGAAAUUCGGAAUUAAAAAAUAAGGAAUAUUAUAAAAGGAGACUAGAGUCCAUAUAGAAAUACAAUUUAGAAAUAACUGAAAUUCUGAAUUAAAAAAUAAGGAAUAUUAGAAGAGGAGACUAGAGUCCAUAUAGAAAUACACUUUAGAAAUAGUUGAAAUUCAGAAUUAAAAAAUAAGGAAUAUUAGAAGAGGAGACUAGAGUCCAUAUAGAAAUACAAUAAGGAAAUAACUGAAAUUCGGAAUUAAAAAUAAGGAAUAUUAGAAGUAGAGUAUAGAGUCCAUAUAUAAAAUACAAUUAGGUAAUAACAGAAAUUCGGAAUUAAAAAUAAGGAAUAUUAGAAGUAGAGUAUAGAGUCCAUAUAGAAAUACAAUUAAGAAAAAAAAUAGAAAUUUAGAAUUAAAAAAUAAGGAAUAUUAUAAGUAGAGUAUAGAGUUCAUAUUGGAAUUUAGAACCAACUAAAAUUCGAAAUAAAAAGGAGCCUCCACGUUCGCUCUCAUGGCCUAGAAAUUCUCACAUUAAUCAGAGAAAAAGAAAAUGCAGAGUCUAUAUAGAAAUACAAUUUAGAAAUAGCUGAAAUUCAGAAUUAAAAAAUAAGGAAUAUUAGAAAAGGAGACUAGAGUAGUUAUUACACAUUAGUAGUUUUAAAAAGUUAUUGCAAAAUUUAAAAUUAUAUUGUCAUUGUAAUAUAUUUUAAUAAUAUAGUGAGAAAACAUAUAUGCUAUUAUAUGAGAGAAAAUAUAAUGAUGCUAGCCGCGCAGAUUGUGCGGGCCACCAUGCUAGUUAUUUAACAGUCAAUUUGUAAAUUCAAGUCUUCUUUUGCUUCAGAUGAUAGUAAUUUGUCUAUUGUCAAUUUUUAUUGUAACUUCAAAUAUUUUUCUAAGAGUGAAGUGCACCAGCGGUCCCUAAACUUAUGCGGGUGUGUCAUCUAGGUCCCUGAACUCUCAAAAUAUAUUUUUGGAUCCCCGAACUUGUCUUGUGUGUCGUAUAGGUCCAUCCGAUGACAUGGCAUGCCACGGUGACGCCUACGUGUCGGUGAGGACCCCACAUGUCAGUCAUAUGUAUAAAAAUAAAAUUAAAAACCAUAUUUUCUCCUCUCUACCUCCGCGUCGAACUCCACUGCCUCCGCUCACCGGCAUGCGCGCGCCGGCCUACGUGCGUAGGCUCCGUCGGCUCCGCCACACUGGCCUCCUCGCUGCGGGCGAAGCCGUACCCACCUCGGCCCGGCCAGGCAGCCUCAGCCGGCUCUCCGCGUCAAGCUCCGCCGCCUCCGCCUCCGUGCCGCAAGCGACGCCGCACUCGCCUCGCCCGAGGCCGCUUCCUCGGCACCCUCCGCGCCGCAAGCGACGCCGCGGCUUCUGUUCAAUUAGCCCGCAUAGUUAUGGUUGCAUGCACGGGCGGCAUGCAUUGGAUUCCCAUGCUGCGUGCAUAUGUAGCAUGCAUGGGCGCACGCUACGCGCAUGGCGGCUAGCUCCGCCUAGCACUCCGCUGGCUUCAGCCGAGUAACCCGCAUGCCGCUCCACGACCUCCACUCUCGCCUCUCGCCACGGCCAAGGCCGUUCCGCCUCAGCUUGAGCUCCGGCUCGCCGCAAGCGCCGUCGAGGGACCAACUCCGCGCGGGCCACGGAGUCACCUCCGCGUCGGCAAGCCUCCGCGUCCGCGCGCGGCUCCAUCGCCUCCGCGGCCACGCGCGACUCUGCCAACGCCGAGGGGCUCCGGCCGUUGUGGUUGUCCGCCUCGGCGUUGAGCCACGGCUCCGUCACCUCAGCGAUCACGCGCAACUCCUAUGCUGUCAACGUUGCGACCUCGCGCGGCUCGCCGUCACUGCCGCCACGUGCGACUCCGCCGGCCGCGCGCGGCUACGUCGCCUCCCCACCCAGGCGCGACACGGCAAACCCCUCCACGCGACACGGCGGCCAGACCGCCGCAGCUACUCGCUGGCCUCCGCUCGGUAGCACGUGUGGAUAGAUGCAUGCAGUGCACGGCUCUAUUCACGUGGCAAGGUGCAGGAGCGUGGCAAUCUGCAGCCAUGCCUGCGUUCGGGGACCUAUAUGACACGCAAGACAAGUUCGGGGACUUAAAAAUGCAUUUUGAGAGUUCAGGGACCUAGAUGACACGCCCGCACAAGUUUAGGGACCGCUGGUGCACUUCACUCUUUUUCUAAUAUCGAAUGAUGGUGAUAUUUUUGUUGUUAAUUGUUGAGCUUUUCUUGAUUCGUUAGAAGUGAUAUUAUGGGACACGCAUGAUAUUAAUAAGAAGAUGUCUAUAACAAUCUUGUCUCAAACAAUCCGAUAUCUAUACUACUAUAAAAAAUAAAAAAUAGUACCGGUGGUGGUCACCACCACCCUCAACUAUCACGUGGGAAAAAUAUGAUAGCCGAAUAUUCUCAUUAUGAAAUUUUUCGUUACCCUAAACAAUAGAAAUACUUUUUUUAGAGGCUUAAAAAUAUAUACAAUGAACUAUUUUAUAAAAUAAGCUGUUGCAAUGUACGGCCAUUAUGCUAGUAAAAGCAAAAUUGGCCGGCAUAUGGAAAUAGAGAAUGCAGUACUGGUGAUUGGAAUACCUGACCGCAUAUGCAGACGUCAUCCCUAACGUCAUCUUGUUAAAAGGAGGGAACAGAUAGCCCACAAUGAUAUUCGCCUUGUCUGGAAGAUACCUUGUAAUCUAGGUACAGUACUAAAUCGUUACUACCUCCGUCCCAAAAUAAAAAUAUUUGGAUCUUGAUACGGUCUCCGAGAUAUUAUUUUAACUAAUAAUAUAUAUAAAAAUAAGAUGUUUUAAAUAAAAAGAGUGGUAUAUUAUGAUAGUUUGUUUAGUAAUAAAUCUACCAACAUUAAUUUUAUAUGAUUGUUUUUUUUUAUAUUUUUACUAUUAAUAGUUAAAGUUAAAAAUGUUAGAUAUUUUAGGAGGAGGAGGGAGUAGAUUCUUUAGAUUUUUGCAUCUCCUGUAAAGGCAGCUUACGUAUCGAAUUUUGAAACUAACCAUGUUUCUAUGCCGGUGUAGUGCAGACUGGAGCAACGGCGGGCGAUCGCGCCGCUGAAUUAAUCGGAUUACUAAUUGACAGCCCAAUGAUUUUGCAGCUGCGCCUCCCUCACCAACCCACGACCCGCUGAAUAUGUUAGCCACUCCAUGGCUGAUGCCGCACUAUAAAUAAGCCACACGCCCUCCAUGUAUGCCUCACUCGAGCUCGAACAAUCUAUAUAUUGUCAGAGACGCACACUUUACUGAUCAGCUAGUUAGUCCCAGUUCUGAAGAACAACUGGAAAAAGAAAAUCGAGCUGUAAAAAUAUUAGUACCAGUGAUCAGUGACAGUUCAGAGCAUCAACCAUGUCGUCCAACAAUUCCAUGGAGGCCAACAAUGGCGAUGAUGAGAAGAAGCAAGAGCAGGUGGUGUGCGUGACGGGAGCGGGAGGCUUCAUCGGGUCGUGGGUGGUGAAGGAGCUCCUCCUCCGCGGCUACCGCGUGAGGGGAACAGCCAGGGAUCCCCGCAAGAACGCCCACCUGCUUGAUCUUGAGGGAGCCAAGGAGAGGCUGACACUGUGCCGCGCCGACGUCCUGGACUUCGCCAGCCUACGCGCCGCGUUCGCCGGGUGCCAUGGCGUCUUCCACAUCGCCUCCCCGGUGUCCAAGGACCCUGUAAGCUACUCUUGGCUUGCUUGUUUCGUCGAGUAUUUUACCAAUGCCGUGGCCGACGACUGAGCUGCUUGUCCGUUUUUGCUGCAGAAUCUGGUGCCGGUCGCGAUUGAGGGGACGAGGAACGUGAUGAAGGCGGCGGCGGACAUGGGCGUGCGGCGCGUGGUGUUCACGUCGUCGUACGGCGCCGUGCACAUGAACCCCAACCGGAGCCCCGACGCCGUCCUCGACGAGUCCUGCUGGAGCGACCCCGAAUUCUGCCAGCGAGAGGACGUACGUAAACAUAUGAGUAUUUGACUGUACAAAUGUUUAUCAGUUCAGAAAUCUGAAACGCACCGUACUUGACAUGACGAAUGCAGAUAUACUGCUACGCCAAGAUGAUGGCGGAGAAGACGGCGACGGAGGAGGCGUCGAGGCGUCGGCUGCAGCUCGCGGUGGUGGUGCCGUGCGUGACGGUGGGUCCCAUCCUGCAGCCGUCCGUCAACUUCAGCUGCCACCACGUCGUCCGCUACCUCACCGGCGCCGCGGCCACCUACCCCAACGCCGUCGCCGCCUACGCCGACGUCCGCGACGUCGCCCGCGCCCACGUCCUCGUCUACGAGCACCACGGCGCGCGCGGCCGCUACCUCUGCAUCGGCACCGUCAUCCACCGCGCCGAGCUCCUCCGGAUGCUCAAGGAGCUCUUCCCCCAGUACCCCGUCACUUCAAAGUACGUACUCCCUCCGUCUUAAAAUAUAACAAGGUUAUACUAGAUGGAGUCUGGAUGAGAUAUAUUCUAGUACAUCAAAUCUAGACAUGGGUAUCCUCUGUCUCAAAACCUUAUAUUGGAUGAGAUAUAUUCUAGCACAACGAAUCUAGACAUAUCCAUAUCUAGAUUUGUUGUACUAUGAUGGAGAGAGUAACAAUUUUUACACUACUCCAACCAUCCUAUAAAAAACCAAUCUGUUAGACUAGUAGAACACAUCCUAUUACUACGAAUCCGG